rnacentral:rRNA from 2 species
UUGGAGGGCAAGUCUGGUGCCAGCAGCCGCGGUAAUUCCAGCUCCAAUAGCGUAUAUUAAAGUUGUUGCAGUUAAAAAGCUCGUAGUUGAAUUUCGGAAUCAAUUUGUUGGUCGUGCCUCGGUACGUACUGGUAUUAUUGGUUUCUACCUUCUGAAGAACCUUGAUGUCAUUAAUUUGGUGUCUUGGGGAAUCAGGACUGUUACUUUGAAAAAAUUAGAGUGUUUAAAGCAAGCAUACGCUUGAAUACAUUAGCAUGGAAUAAUGAAAUAGGACGUUUGAUUCUAUUUUGUUGGUUUCUAGGAUCGACGUAAUGAUUAAUAGGGAUAGUUGGGGGCAUUAGUAUUCAAUUGUCAGAGGUGAAAUUCUUGGAUUUAUUGAAGACUAACUACUGCGAAAGCAUUUGCCAAGGAUGUUUUCAUUAAUCAAGAACGAAAGUUAGGGGAUCGAAGACGAUCAGAUACCGUCGUAGUCUUAACCAUAAACUAUGCCGACUAGGGAUCGGAUGAUGUUAAUUUUUUAAUGACUCAUUCGGCGCCUUACGGGAAACCAAAGUGUUUGGGUUC